GUAGUUAUUUUAUUUUAUUUUUUUACAUGCAUCAUUUUAAGGACGUGAUUUCUGGGAAACUGUUCCUUCACUGGUUUUUCAAUGCGCAGUGAAAGUCACAGACUUGUUUGAUACUGUUGUUGGAAACUAAUUAUUAUUUUGAUAUUCACAUUACGAGAACGUAAGCAUCCGAUUAGCUUUUCUUCUUCUUCUUUUAAACGCCCAUGCUCUGUGUCUAAACUCAGUAGGCCUUCCUUCAAACUUCAAAUAAUAGUUUCAAACCUGCGAACGAGGUGUCUCUUUCUGUUAUUCAUAUUUUUAACCUGUGUUUUUGAAAGAUUAAGGCCGUAAUGUAUCGCCCUUGUGUGUGUGUAAAACUUGUGGGUUGUGGAAGUUGUGAAGUGGGAUUUCUCUCUGCAGGAAACUCCGGCGGCUGGAGUUCAAAGCCGCAUGAACAGACGAACCAUUAAAAUAUCAUCCAGACUGCAGCCUUCAGCUCCAUACACUCUCAAACUCCUUCCAGAGAGAGAGAGAAAAAGAGAGAGAGAGGGCCAGGCGAAGCUGUUGAGUUGAAUGUUUUGUCUAACGGACGUUAUCUUUAUAAAAGAAAUCUGGACGGUGUCUUCAACAGGUGAAAAACGGUCAGUUCACCCAACACCUCCUAUCUGUGUCUGGCCGGUUUGAUUAAGAUAAAGCUUCAAAGCAGCGAUCAAGGUGUCGGGUUUCAGACGUCUGAGAGUAACAGUGGAGACUGACCUCUGGCCACCUGAACGAGGCAAGUUUCAGAACUCUGCUGUGCGAGGAAGCGCCUUCGCACAGAAACACUGACACCCGCCAUGGAACAGAUCAAUUUACAGUUAAGUGACUGUAUGACCUGCUGAAGGUAUCGACACACAACCCGGAAACAAAUGACCCACAGACGGAGAGGAACAAAGAAGAGCUACGCAUGACCUGAGAUCUGCCAUAUAGAAUUCAAAUGUAUUUAUUUAUUUAAGAAUAAUGUAAAAGAAAAAUAAGUUUGUUUACGCUCCUGAAAUCGUGCAAAAUAAAGAUCUUAUAUUUGAAAUAGCCUGCAUAAUGAUAAUUAAGAUAUGUUUUCUUUUUUAUUGUCUUCUUAUUAUUGCAAUUAAGCAUAUUGUUGUUGCUGAUGACGAGGGUGCUGUUUUUGAUUAUUAAUAAUUUGUGCACUGUUUUAUUUAUAUAUUUAUUUAUUUAGUGUACGUUAUUUAUGUGUGUGUGGAUUUUUGGAGGUGAGGUUUCGAGUGAAAUGUCAACAGCCACCUGCGUGUUGUUAAAGCACGACGCUUGAAGGGGGUGUGGAUCAAUAUUAAUCACCGGCAAGUAAAGUGUCAUUCAACUGCAGUUCAUUUCCGCUCCGGCAUUCUUUCUCUCUUUCUUUCUUUCUUAGAGCUACAGACGCGUGGCCAGGCUUCCAACAUCGACUUUUCCAAUUAGACACACACAAGACAAGUUAUCUCGAUAUAUGCGCUCUCUGUACUUGACAAAUGACACGUUUUCAAGUCUGUCUUGGAGGAAAUUUAAAGGUGUAGAUGAAGGAAAGAAAUUCCCGUUGAGUGUCAGUGGCAGCCUUUUCUGAUGUAUAAUGAAACAACUCAUGCAAUCUUAUUUUAUUAAUACGAAAUCUUUUUUUAUUAUUAUUAUUUGACAGCACCAAAACAAUGAAGUCAUGUUUAUGAAUUGCGUGAAAAGUUUGCAUGAAAAAUAACACCAUAAAAGGGGCGUUCUUAUUAUUAUUGACCAAUUUUUCAACGUAUAAAUUCAUAAACAGAGUUUAUCACAAUCUCAAAAUCUAGUUUUAAUCGUCGCCGCCAUUUUAAAAACAUUUCCGCUCCCACAUGCUGCAUCUAUAACGUCUUGAUCCUCACACAAAAGCUGGUGAUCUUUCUUUUUAAGUCUCAAAUCAUCAUAAAAAGGGCAGAAUUAUGUCUAGCGAGACUUUUCCCGUUGUGCACGAGUUAAUUCAUCAAAAGGAAAGUUUCUAUAAGUUUUUUUCUCACCCCAUAUAAUGAAAGAUUUAAAUAAUAAGUCGACCACUGAGACAUUCUUUGGACUUGGGCUAUUUUUCAUAAUACUCUUUUGUGUGGCUGAGGAAACUCCACAGACGAGGGCUGAGGAAUAGUCUGAGAUUUUCCCCAUUUUUUGCACAGAUUCAGUGUUAACAGCUAGUUAAAAUGUGUAGAUUCAGACGCUGGCUGUAUCAAAGAAAGGUCUUUUUGACGUAAAAAUGAAGGUAAGAACUAUUUAAUUUUUUUCUGAAAAUAGAAAAAAAAAGGCAAAACCAAUCACAAAACAUGGCUGACCACAGAAAACGCAUAUGUAUUUGCUUGCGUGAUAAACGAAGGAAACCAAAGAAUAAUAAGCGUCUUUAUGAUGGACUCAAGACGAUUUCCUUUUGAACAUAAUUAACUAUAUGCUUAAAAUCAAUUGUUUCCCGAGCUCAGUAAGGGUCCAUGGCUGCAAGCAGAGAGAGGCCUAUUUUUGCACGUGUGAAAGCAGGAAGUAGCUCUACCUGUCAUUCAUUAAGACGACACAAACUCAAUAGAGAGAGGGGAAGCAAGAUUGGACCUCCUCGUUAUACCUGCCGCGCAAUUAGUGUUACUUGUUUCUUUAAUCCGUCUGUCUCCUCACAGUUAUAAUUGAACUUGCGAACGAGAGGGAAGCACGCAACCAU